GGAAGUAGUUCAGUGGUAGAAUACAACCUUGCCAAGGUUGGGGUCGCGGGUUCGAAUCCCGUCUUCC
rnacentral:tRNA from 4 species